rnacentral:lncRNA from 1 species
GGGAAAUAAAUGAAAUUAUAAAAAUAGCAGUUAACCAUGGCUAUAGACCAGGGGUCGGCAACCUAUGGCACGCGUGCCAGCCUUGGCACGCGGUGGAAUUCUCAAUGGCACUCUACACUACUUUACAAAGUAGUCAGGGAAAUUGCGAUUUUUAUACUGCUAAAGGCGGUUUCACAGAACAAUUACCUGUCGCUGGAGACACUACACAAAUCACCUAUAGCCAAUCAGAAUGCUGUCGCUAGAUUUUGUAGUGUCGCGGAAAGUUAAAAUUUGCCCAACUUUUUCCAGCGACACAGUGACACUCAAGCUCUGUCCUUCUCUAAUAUUCAUUUCCUCUCGCUGUUAACCUAAAAUUUAAUAUCAUGGAAAUG